AGAUGAAUUUGGUGCUUGCACCAGAUGAAACUAGAUACAAGCGAGCGGCGGACGGGUGAGUAACACGUGGGUAACCUGCCCAAGAGACUGGGAUAACACCUGGAAACAGAUGCUAAUACCGGAUAACAACACUAGACGCAUGUCUAGAGUUUAAAAGAUGGUUCUGCUAUCACUCUUGGAUGGACCUGCGGUGCAUUAGCUAGUUGGUAAGGUAACGGCUUACCAAGGCAAUGAUGCAUAGCCGAGUUGAGAGACUGAUCGGCCACAUUGGGACUGAGACACGGCCCAAACUCCUACGGGAGGCAGCAGUAGGGAAUCUUCCACAAUGGACGCAAGUCUGAUGGAGCAACGCCGCGUGAGUGAAGAAGGGUUUCGGCUCGUAAAGCUCUGUUGGUAGUGAAGAAAGAUAGAGGUAGUAACUGGCCUUUAUUUGACGGUAAUUACUUAGAAAGUCACGGCUAACUACGUGCCAGCAGCCGCGGUAAUACGUAGGUGGCAAGCGUUGUCCGGAUUUAUUGGGCGUAAAGCGAGUGCAGGCGGUUCAAUAAGUCUGAUGUGAAAGCCUUCGGCUCAACCGGAGAAUUGCAUCAGAAACUGUUGAACUUGAGUGCAGAAGAGGAGAGUGGACUCCAUGUGUAGCGGUGGAAUGCGUAGAUAUAUGGAAGAACACCAGUGGCGAAGGCGGCUCUCUGGUCUGCAACUGACGCUGAGGCU
rnacentral:rRNA from 1 species